ACGGGUGAGUAAUGCCUAGGAAUCUGCCUGGUAGUGGGGGACAACGUUUCGAAAGGAACGCUAAUACCGCAUACGUCCUACGGGAGAAAGCAGGGGACCUUCGGGCCUUGCGCUAUCAGAUGAGCCUAGGUCGGAUUAGCUAGUCGGUGAGGUAAUGGCUCACCAAGGCGACGAUCCGUAACUGGUCUGAGAGGAUGAUCAGUCACACUGGAACUGAGACACGGUCCAGACUCCUACGGGAGGCAGCAGUGGGGAAUAUUGGACAAUGGGCGAAAGCCUGAUCCAGCCAUGCCGCGUGUGUGAAGAAGGUCUUCGGAUUGUAAAGCACUUUAAGUUGGGAGGAAGGGUUGUAGAUUAAUACUCUGCAAUUUUGACGUUACCGACAGAAUAAGCACCGGCUAACUCUGUGCCAGCAGCCGCGGUAAUACAGAGGGUGCAAGCGUUAAUCGGAAUUACUGGGCGUAAAGCGCGCGUAGGUGGUUCGUUAAGUUGGAUGUGAAAUCCCCGGGCUUAACCUGGGAACUGCAUUCAAAACUGUCGAGCUAGAGUAUGGUAGAGGGUGGUGGAAUUUCCUGUGUAGCGGU
rnacentral:rRNA from 1 species